GGCUCGGUAGCGCGUGGCGCGCGUCUGUGCAUGACGGAGCGGACACUAAUGAUAUGCCGAGCAGACACCCCCGUUCGACUCGGGGCUGAGCCA